AUGACAGCUAGGGAGGGAGCAGAGACAAGACGGGCAAGCCUGCAACAGAGCAAGACCCUGUCUCAAAAACCAAAAACACGACGUGUGAGUUGGACUCCAGUGUGGAAUCCUGUGUCUGCUUGGUGCACCCCUGUGCUGCUGAAAGUACAAGGGGAGAGGGGAAAGCCACAGGUGGAGCUGGCCAUGAGGACUGUCACAGGGAACUCUUUGAAUAAGAGGACACCAGAUCAUGCCUGCAGUUCCAGCCGAGGAGCAGUUAGCACCAGCCUCAGCGUGGAGCAGGGGCUGGACUAUUAGGCAAGGACUUCAGCUCCGGCAGUGAGAACUGAGAUCAGACACAAGAGAAGCUCCCUGAUGAGGAGGGGUGAGUAUAAAACAAAGGGCAGAAGUCAUCGGGGAAUCUCCUUCCCUUGAGGCCUCAGGAAGAUGCCAGUCCCCCACAUUGGUCUGUCCUGAGGGUCUCACACCCCUGUCCUCCUGGGAAAACCUAGAUCCUCCAAACUCUGCCCGGGUUCUUCCUGGGGAGUCUUGACCCCUGCCUUGUGGUUGGUGUGGGAUGGGGGACCUGGAAGCAGGACUGCCUUCCUCUGGCCGAAGCCUGGCAAGCAAGCAUGGGAAUGUACUGUCUUCCGGAGAGGGAACAGAGGAGAAGUGAUGGAGCCCCUAAUUCAAGACCCUGCAGAGGUGGUGCGAGAUCUCAUAAUACCAGUCUCUAAACCAGUGCCUUUCAAGCUCUCCGUGGUGAAGAAUCCCUGUUUAAAAUAUAUAAUCAGUCAUAGAUCAGUGCUUUCGUAAAAUGCAAUAAAAAUUUCCAAAAAAA